rnacentral:rRNA from 1 species
AUUGAACGCUGGCGGCAUGCCUUACACGUGCAAGUCGAACGGCAGCACGGGUGCUUGCACCUGGUGGCGAGUGGCGAACGGGUGAGUAAUACAUCGGAACGUACCUUAUCGUGGGGGAUAACGCAGCGAAAGCUGUGCUAAUACCGCAUACGCCCUGAGGGGGAAAGCGGGGGAUCGAAAGACCUCGCGCGAUUAGAGCGGCCGAUGCCUGAUUAGCUUGUUGGUAGGGUAAAAGCCCACCAAGGCGACGAUCAGUAGCUGGUCUGAGAGGACGAUCAGCCACACUGGGACUGAGACACGGCCCAGACUCCUACGGGAGGCAGCAGUGGGGAAUUUUGGACAAUGGGGGCAACCCUGAUCCAGCAAUGCCGCGUGAGUGAAGAAGGCCUUCGGGUUGUAAAGCUCUUUUGUCAGGGAAGAAACACCGGCUCUAACACAGUCCGGGAAUGACGGUACCUGAAGAAUAAGCACCGGCUAACUACGUGCCAGCAGCCGCAGUAA